UAGGGAAUAUUGGUAAUGUGCGAAAGCGCGAACCAGCAACGCCGCGUGCACGAUGAAGGCCUUCGGGUCGUAAAGUGCUUUUAGAGAGGAUGAGGAAGGACAGUACUUUCUGAAUAAGCCUCGGCUAACUACGUGCCAGCAGCCGCGGUAAAACGUAGGAGGCUAGCGUUAUCCGGAUUUACUGGGCGUAAAGCGCAUGCAGGUGGUUUUGUAAGUUGGAUGUGAAAGCUCCUGGCUUUACUGGGAGAGGUCGUUCAAAACUACAAGACUUGAGAUUGGUAGAGGAAAAUGGAAUUCAGGGUGUAGUGGUGAAAUGCGUAGAUAUCCGGAGGAACACCAGUGGCGAAAGCGGUUUUCUGGACCAAUUCUGACACUCAGAUGCGAAAGCUAAGGUAGCAAACG
rnacentral:rRNA from 1 species